rnacentral:misc_RNA from 1 species
GAAACACAGACCACCUACUCUUACAUGUUCUGUUACCAUGGAUAUUUUGUGUAUGAUUUAGUAUGGUGAUAUUUGAGAUGACUACAGGUUUUUAUUAUCUCACCCCCAGAAAUGAGAUGGCAGGUUUUCUUCUCUCCCAUGUUCAGGAUUUUUACUUCUAUUGACAUUGUCAACCUUUGAAAAUCUUGUUUGGUGGAUCUGGGCUCUGACACUUGUGAACUACACCCUCUCCCCUGUUCAUAGAUUCUAUGUGUCUUUUCAUCCUCCAAUGUCUGUAGACAUCAAUUUUGCCCAGCCUCUACUCUUAUCAAGAGAAAUAUGAAAUACAUCACUGAGCUAGAUAAUUUGUGAAUGGAAUUCUAUGUGGACAAACAUACAGUAGUUUGUAUACCUUCUGCACUAAACAGAAUCCUUUUGACCAGGAUGGAGGAGGCACACAGCUGCCUGGCCUUGGUUAAGCUUUCUACUGUGGCUGUCUGCAUCCAUACCAGGUUUGUCAGCCUGUGGGGAGCCCACCUGCUCCCUUGGCAUUGGAGAGCAACAUGACAUGGGGAAGAGACUUCAGGUGACAUUGAAAUAUGGGUAAUUAAUCUUUGACCAUCCAGGAAGGCCAUGUGUUAAAAUGAAUCUCUCGCUCAUUCCUCCUGAGUGACGGUUUUUGCCCCCAUCAUCAGCCCUCCUUUCCCAUUAAUUCUUGGCCUCCAGGCACCAUUUUCUAUUGGAUAGUCUCAUUCAACUUUCUCAGAAGGGAUAUUCUGUGGGAAUUGCUUUCUUAGAUGACAAAUGUGUUAAGUCCGCCAACCCUAAAAUAUUUAUAUUUGAGAAGGAUAUUUGAAAUAAUGAAGAUAAAAUGUAGAAAUACAUGCAGGCACCCCACCUGUUUGUUUCCACAAGCAUCUCCACUGUUUUCAUGGCUCACUGGUAGGUGUCUCUUUGUGGCCAUAAGGCAUAGUCUGUGAAAGCAGUUUGCAAUUUGAUUUUCUUGGUCUCUUGCUUUUUCAGAAAUGCUCUGACACACCUUUGUGUUGUCUGAUGAAUUAUUCCUUAAGUGAAUUCUGCAGGGGUUUGAUUGCGUGGUCCUGGCUAGUAAGGCAUGCACAUAGGUCCACAGAUGGUGGAUCCUCAGAAGGAAUUCUGAUAUGACUUCAUUUCUCCAUGUUGUAUGUGAUAGUGCUUUUCUUUCAGAAGUUGUGUAAGCCUUUGCCACUCAGACAUGUUCCUGAGAGUCACCUAAAGGUGAACUAUACCUAGAGUGAAUCCAAGUAUGGAAGUCUACUGUGUGCUGUGGAGCAAAUGGCUAUCUGAAGAGCAGAGUACACCAUGUGAUUACAGAGACAACCUGAGAAUAAACGUUAAUCCUGAGACUACCACAUACUGAAGAGUAUUGGCAAUCUGGGAUGUGUGAUUUGGUUCAGUGGACAGGCAAAACUAUGUAUCAUGAAGCCUGGUGAUCUUUAGUUCAAUCCCCAGAAUCCAUAUGAAGGUGGAAGGAGGGAAGCACUUCCAUAAAUUUGUCCUCUGAUUUUGACAUGUAUAACAUGGCACAUAAACAUACCCACUACACUCAUCUCUUACCCAUAGAUGACCCAUAGAUGGCUGUAAGUCUGACAUAGGAAUGUUUUAUCAGUUUAAAACUGAACCAAAAUGCUGUAGGUAUCCCUAAAGAAGUAACAAAGAGCUCAGUCCACACAAGUAGUCAGGGCUAAGUACAGCUACAGAAUUCUUUGGAGCAGUAUGUCCCGUCAAUGCACACAUUACCUGAAAAAAUUAUGUGAAACUUUGUGCAGACUGCUCCUGUAGAUGUAAGAAAGCUGGAGGGAUACUGUCAGAUUUUCACAUGCUAUGAUACUCAAGUUUCCCAUCCUAUAAGUAAUUUGAUAAAGAGGAUAAAGACUAGGACAAAGACUGGACAGGUUUUAGAACAAGCUAAAAUCUUUCUAAGAUAGGCUAACUAACGGUGUGAUACUUUGCUGCAGUAUCUCUUCCUGUCAGAAACCACCAGAACCUCAGAGGGCUAAGAUUGGUGGCCAUAAAACAAAAUACUCUCAGUGAAUGAUUGCAGUGUCGGUUUUUCUCAUUCAUGGGAAGGAGCAGAAGCUCAGUUUAGUGCUAGAAUGGCAGCUGCUAGCACCAUCUAAGGCAUAACCAAAAAAAUGGAGUCCAUCAAUCAAUGACUCUCCCUAGCAGCCAUAAAGACAAGCUUACCAAAAUAAAAGUUGUAGUGAAGGUCUUUUGGAAAAGCCUCUUUCCAUGGUAGCACAGAACUAACCCUAAUAUGGUAGUUUGUUGGUGUGAAUAUGCUAUUAUUAGUAAGGAUACAACCAUAUCUUUCUCAUUGGAUUUAAGAUAUGCAGCAUCAGAAGGAAUUUAUGUCUGGUAUUACAGAGAAGGAAUCUAUGCCUGGUACUGUAAGCCAGAUAGAAACCUGUGGCUGUGAGUUCAAAGCUCCAGUAGGGAAGUAAUUGCUCUUUCUUUAUUCAAUGGAUGUGACGAUUAUGUCAAACUGCCUCUAAACACGCAUCUCAAUCAUUCUCUUCAAAGAUCAGGGAAUACUGCAAAAGAGGGAACAGAAGGAUUGUAGGAGCCAGAUUAAGGGAUAGAAUGUUGUGUACCAUUUUUGUUGGCUUCUCUUAUUUCCCCCCAGGAUUCAAAUAUUCCCUCCAGGUUGAAGGUGGGAGGUGGGAGGCUCACAAAUCUCC